CAAUAAUUUGUCUCUAUUUGUACUGAUUAUCAUUGGCAUUUACGUCACGUUCCACUUGGUAAUGUGAGAAAAACGGAGGAUUAAAAGCGGCUCGUAUUUACUGAGGGAAUCCCAGACGAGGCAAAGCGGAAGUAGAAAGAGGGAAACCUCCCGCCCGCUUGUUGCGUCACGUCGAAGACUUCCGGGUUGCUUCUCACAGACACACAUGUCGCUUCGCCUCGUUUUUACGUUUAGUUUAGUUUUUUUGGUGACGCUACACGUCCUUAAACCACAUUAGCGAGAUGUUGAGUUAAACAUCACCCGUGUCCUUCUACAUUUAAUCGGAGGCAACGAACAUAUUUAGAGCGUCUUUUCGUUGGAGGCAACAAGCGGAUCCAUUCAUCUCCUAUUUAUUGCCUACGAAGACCUCCUCUAGUUUAAUCUAUGCCCGUUGCUAAUCUGCACAAUGACUGGAGUCCAUCAUUUCCUAAACGGGACUCAACUCGAUGCCGUUGGUCAAAUUGGAGCAGAGGGGUCAUACCACAUUGUGCUGGACAGAUCCCCUCCAGACUACGUGGAGAAGAUAUCGCGAUAUCUUUCGUCUUCUAUGGGACAGGGCACAUGGGAUAAAGUAUCCAAUGGCCCUGCUGAAGCAGAUAGUGACUCAGGAGACAGCCUGUUCAUAACCCAAAAGGAAGCAACGCUACCUGAGGAUGUGAGGCCAGACCGACUCCAUCAAUACAUCAGAGAUCUAGAGGAAGGUGAAGGCGGUUCCUCGUCCACUUCCCACAGUGAAGACUUCAAAACUCCCAAGUGGAGAAGAAAGAAAUACACCCUGCCAAAAUACAGUUUCCCUUUCCUCGAAAAGCAUAACAAGAAGCUCAGAAGCACUCGGUUACCCGACCAGUACAAAAGCCUCCAUGAUUACACCCUCGGAGGCUUCUUUAAAUGUCUCGGAGAGCUGAGGCAGAGCUCUCAGAGAGGACAGAAUCUGGAGUCAUCUUUACCAACAGUUGACAUGGAUGGGGAGCACAUAUCUCCAUUGUCAGAAGAAGAUGGAGAGAGGUCAGAGGACGAAGACGUCAAAGUGGUGGAGAGGAAACACUUCCUGGUAUCGUCCAAAAGAAUGAGCCAACAAACCUGGUGCAACCAGUUAAAAAGACCAAAGAGGAAGAAAGAUAAUAACGCUGGGCCAGAAACAUCAGGAGAAACCAAGAUGUCGCCUAUAAAACCGAACAAAAAGUCUUCUUGCAGAGUUCUGGUGCAGAGUGCCAGAGAAGCAUCCACGCCUGUAGCAGGACAGGCCGGCGGUGGACCACCAAGCCAACGUCUCCUCCACGGACUCCCAGACCGCACUAAGGUAAAGAAGAAGAGGAAGAAAGAAAGGUCAAAGGGCCUGAAUGCUGCGACAUCUGUGAACAUGGUGGUAGAGGAGACUCCCAGGCUUUCCGAAGGUUACAGGGCAGCGCAGACCAGUGAUGUGCUGGGAAUAAAUGUGAAAAAUGGGACUGGGGCCUCGUCAGGCGACAAUAACACACUCAGACGGGUGAAGGGAGAUGUUCCUGAUUCAAAACAAAAGAAAAAGAACAAGUCUGCGGCAGAAAGAAAGAAGAGGAAAGGUAGAGGCGAAGAUGCUGAGCAGUUACAGUCAGGCGCAGUUGCAGAACCUCAAAUUGAUGAUGCUGAGAUACAGAAGAAGAAGAGGAAAGGUAGCGGCGAGGAUGCUGAGCAGUUACAGUCCGGCAUUGUUACCGAACCUCAAAGUGAUGAUGCUGAGAUGCAGAAGAAAAAGAAGAAGAAGAAGAGUAAAGGUAGAGACGAGGAUGCUGAGCAGUUACAGUCCGGCAUUGUUACCGAACCUCAAAGUGAUGAUGCUGAGAUGCAGAAGAAAAAGAAGAAGAAGAAGAGUAAAGGUAGCGGCGAGGAUGCUGAGCCGUUACAGUCCGGCAUUGUUACCGAACCUCAAAGUGAUGAAGCUGAGAUACAGAAGAAGAAGAAGAAGAAGAAAAGGAAAAAAGAAUUGGGAAUUGAGAUAGCGGAGGAACAUGAAGAAGAGGAGACAUCGAAUGGGACUUUAGAUUUGCCGCCGAUGUCAACAGAACAGUUGGAGGCGUCUAGAAAUUGUUUCCAAGAACCAUUAGGAUCCAGUUUGGUCAAGAGGAAAAAGCGUAAAAAGAAACAACAGUCCUCUGACGACGCCACUCAAGGCGGAGAAGAGGGCGUGGAUGUGAGCUUUUGUCUUCAGGAUUCUGUGACCAUGGCUAAAGGUGCACUGAAGAAGAAGAGGAGCACUUUCUUUGAGGAACUGAAUGUCUUUCACACUCCGAAAGAAAAAUUUGAAAACGUAUCCAACCAGAAAACAAAUGAGGGCCUGGAAGACCAAAUCGCUGAGUCGGUGACUAAGAAGAAGAAAAAGAAAGAAAUAUUUAGCAGGGGUGUAUCUGAAGACAAAGUGGCGCAAAGCGAUGAUUCCGUGUCUGCACGGGAAAAGGGAAAGAAGAGGCACUCAUCCUUCCUCGUUGCUGAUGCAGAGGAAAGUUGUGCGCAGACACGCGGCAUCUCUCCCUCUGCGUGCCGUGCCGGCGCGAAGAGGAAAAAGGAACGCACAGGAAGUGAAAGCGAAGGACUGGACAGCGCAGCUGACACAGGGCUUUCUGCAAAGGAUGAGGCUGUGGUGUUGAAAAAGAAGAAGAGAAAGUGUAACAGUGUGAUAAUAGAAGGUCCUCCAGCUGCCACGACCUGUAGCUCAGUUUCACGAAAGAAAAAAGGCAAAUGUGACGCGAGCGCGGAAACGCUGACCUCGGUCGAAUGUGAUUUAGCAUCUUCAGAGAUGUUGAAUGACACGAGAGACCAGAAAAAGAAGAAGAAGAAGAAGACAUUUCAAAAUGAUGAAAAGUCGUUGGCUCAGUCCGAGCCCGGUGAAACCAGAGGGAAGCAAAGAAGCGAGCAGCCCGUCAGCCCCGUCAUGCCGGAGGCUCCAGACAUCCUGAGGAAGAAGCACAAGCGGAAACUUCUCAAUCCAACCGUGGAGUUCUUCUCUGACUCUUAGUUUGAACUCUCUAAUUGGAUGAGCUGUAGAUUUGAGUUUGAUCAGUGGAGGAAUUCUCGACUUCCUGUGUUGUUUUGAAUGCACAGUGUUGAUGUGAAAAGCCUUUUGAAUAUGUAUUUCGUUUUGUAUCAAAGCAUUUUACCGACACCGCUCUCAACCUUUUUGGUUGAACAGAAAAAUAACACACCAUGUUUACUUUUGUUAAGUUUGUUAAAUUAAACUACAUGAAAUUAUUUUUAAUUAAAUUGUGAUCACUCUUGAAUGUGAAACAAAAAGCUAUGUUUUUAAUAUACAGUAAGCCACUGUCAGGUUGACAACCCUGGACACAGCUACCUAAUGGGCAUGUGGCUCUCAUAGCACAGGGACGUUGUUGUCUUUCCUUUUAAACUUGCAUUGUUUUGCCCCACCGUAAAAGAAAUGCGUAAAAAAGAUGAAUUGUUCUGUGUAUUGGAAAUCAAUGUUUAACAUGUGCACCGUAGGUCAGCACCAUUCAUGGGGUUGAUAAGUAAUACAGAG
ensembl:lncRNA